GAUGAACGCUGGCGGCGUGCCUAAUACAUGCAAGUCGAGCGAACGGACGCGAAUCUUGCUUCUCUGAUGUUCGCGGCGGACGGUAGAGUAACACUUGGAUACCCUACCUAUUAGACUGGGAUCACUUCAGGAAACCGGAUCUCAUACCGGAUAAUCUUCUGAACCGCAUGGUUUAAAAGUGAUAGACGGUCUUGCUGUCACUUAUAGAUGGACCUCGGCUGCAUUAGCUAGUUGGUAAGGUAACGGCUUACCAAGGCGACGAUGCAUAGCCGAACGGAGAGGGUGAUAGGCGACACUGGAGGUGAGACGCGGUCCAGACUCCUGCGGGAGGCAGCAGUAGGGGAUCGGCCGCAGUGGGCGAAAGCCUGACGGAGUAGGGGGGCGUGAGUGAUGGAAGUCUUCGGAGCGUGAUACUCUGUUAUGAGUGAUGAACAGAUGUGUAAGGAACUGUGCAGAGCGUGACGGUAAUGAAUCAGGAAGCCACGGCUAACUACGUG
rnacentral:rRNA from 1 species